rnacentral:rRNA from 1 species
UACGUAGGGUGCAAGCGUUGUCCGGAAUUAUUGGGCGUAAAGAGCUCGUAGGCGGUCUGUCGCGUCGGCUGUGAAAACCCGGGGCUCAACCCCGGGCCUGCAGUCGAUACGGGCAGACUAGAGUGUGGUAGGGGAGACUGGAAUUCCUGGUGUAGCGGUGAAAUGCGCAGAUAUCAGGAGGAACACCGGUGGCGAAGGCGGGUCUCUGGGCAAUUCCUGACGCUGAGGCGCGAAAGCGUGGGGAGCAAACGGG